rnacentral:rRNA from 1 species
UACGUAGGGUGCAAGCGUUUAAUCGGAAUUACUGGGCGUAAAGCGUGCGCAGGCGGUGAUGUAAGACAGAUGUGAAAUCCCCGGGCUCAACCUGGGAACUGCAUUUGUGACUGCAUCGCUAGAGUACGGCAGAGGGGGAUGGAAUUCCGCGUGUAGCAGUGAAAUGCGUAGAUAUGCGGAGGAACACCGAUGGCGAAGGCAAUCCCCUGGGCCUGUACUGACGCUCAUGCACGAAAGCGUGGGGAGCAAACAGG